rnacentral:rRNA from 1 species
GAUGAACGCUGGCGGCGUGCCUAAUACAUGCAAGUCGAGCGAACAGAUGAGGAGCUUGCUCCUCUGACGUUAGCGGCGGACGGGUGAGUAACACGUGGAUAACCUACCUAUAAGACUGGGAUAACUUCUGGAAACCGGAGCUAAUACCGGAUAAUAUAUUGAACCGCAUGGUUCAAUAGUGAAAGACGGUUUUGCUGUCACUUAUAGAUGGAUCCGCGCCGCAUUAGCUAGUUGGUAAGGUAACGGCCUACCAAGGCGACGAUGCGUAGCCGACCUGAGAGGGUGAUCGGCCACACUGGAACUGAGACACGGUCCAGACUCCUACGGGAGGCAGCAGUAGGGAAUCUUCCGCAAUGGGCGAAAGCUUGACGGAGCAACGCCGCGUGAGUGAUGAAGGUCUUCGGAUCGUAAAACUCUGUUAUUAGGGAAGAACAAAUGUGUAAGUAACUAUGCACGUCUUGACGGUACCUAAUCAGAAAGCCACGGCUAACUACGUG